UACAGAGGGGGCAAGCGUUGUUCGGAAUUACUGGGCGUAAAGGGCGCGUAGGCGGCCCUCUAAGUCAUGCGUGAAAUCCCCGGGCUCAACCCAGGAACUGCGUCCGAUACUGGUUGGCUUGAAUCCGGGAGAGGGAUGUGGAAUUCCAGGUGUAGCGGUGAAAUGCGUAGAUAUCUGGAGGAACACCGGUGGCGAAGGCGACAUCCUGGACCGGUAUUGACGCUGAGGCGCGAAAGCCAGGGGAGCAAACGGG
rnacentral:rRNA from 1 species